UACGAAGGGGGCUAGCGUUGUUCGGAAUUACUGGGCGUAAAGCGUGCGCAGGCGGCUUCUCAAGUCAGGGGGGAAAGCCCAGAGCUCAACUCUGGAAUUGCCUUUGAGACUGAGAGGCUUGAGUGCGGGAGAGGUGAGUGGAAUUCCCAGUGUAGAGGUGAAAUUCGUAGAUAUUGGGAAGAACACCGGUGGCGAAGGCGGCUCACUGGCCCGUAACUGACGCUCAGGCACGACAGCGUGGGGAUCAAACAGG
rnacentral:rRNA from 1 species